UCCAGUGAUGGCAUAUCUUUGAGACCUGAAGACAUUUGUUCCUUGUUGACAAUCAUAAGCAUAAUCGCUGAGGGC